AUGGGCGAAAGCCUGAUGCAGCGACGCCGCGUGAGGGAUGACGGCCUUCGGGUUGUAAACCUCUUUCAGCAGGGAAGAAGCGAGAGUGACGGUACCUGCAGAAGAAGCGCCGGCUAACUACGUGCCAGCAGCCGCGGUAAUACGUAGGGCGCAAGCGUUGUCCGGAAUUAUUGGGCGUAAAGAGCUCGUAGGCGGCUUGUCGCGUCGGUUGUGAAAGCCCGGAGCUCAACUCCGGGUCUGCAGUCGAUACGGGCAGGCUAGAGUGUGGUAGGGGAGAUCGGAAUUCCUGGUGUAGCGGUGAAAUGCGCAGAUAUCAGGAGGAACACCGGUGGCGAAGGCGGAUCUCUGGGCCAUUACUGACGCUGAGGAGCGAAAGCGUGGGGAGCGAACAGGAUUAGAUACCCUGGUAGUCCACGCCGUAAACGGUGGGCACUAGGUGUUGGCGACAUUCCACGUCGUCGGUGCCGCAGCUAACGCAUUAAGUGCCCCGCCUGGGGA
rnacentral:rRNA from 1 species